rnacentral:rRNA from 1 species
GAUGAACGCUGGCGGCGUGCCUAAUACAUGCAAGUCGAGCGAACGGACGAGAAGCUUGCUUAUCUGAUGUUAGCGGCGGACGGGUGAGUAACACGUGGAUAACCUACCUAUAAGACUGGGAUAACUUCGGGAAACCGUAGCUAAUACCGGAUAAUAUUUUGAACCGCAUGGUUCAAAAGUGAAAGACGGUCUUGCUGUCACUUAUAGAUGGAUCCGCGCUGCAUUAGCUAGUUGGUAAGGUAACGGCUUACCAAGGCAACGAUGCAUAGCCGACCUGAGAGGGUGAUCGGCCACACUGGAACUGAGACACGGUCCAGACUCCUACGGGAGGCAGCAGUAGGGAAUCUUCCGCAAUGGGCGAAAGCCUGACGGAGCAACGCCGCGUGAGUGAUGAAUGUCUUCGGAUCGUAAAACUCUGUUAUUAGGGAAGAACAUAUGUGUAAGUAACUGUGCACAUCUUGACGGUACCUAAUCAGAAAGCCACGGCUAACUACGUG